CUUAGUGUUCACAUAAAUUUGAAAACAAUUCAGGUAAGUGUCUAGUAAAAGCAACAGGAAUGUGUUUAAUUUUAGAAAAGUAUAUCGAGAAUGUGUGGUUGGCUUGUAUUUACCUUUCUGAUAAUUUUUAUUAUAGAAUUCUUUGUUCUUAAAUUGGCAUGUGCUCAUUUUUUUCUAGCUACACUCACUUCAAAUUGUCAUUUAACUGCAAGAACAUUAAAAUAAUUA